rnacentral:rRNA from 1 species
UACAGAGGUCCCAAGCGUUGUUCGGAUUCACUGGGCGUAAAGGGUGCGUAGGUGGCCGGGUAAGUCUGACGUGAAAUCUCCGAGCCUAACUCGGAAACUGCAUCGGAUACUAUCCGGCUUGAGGGUUGGAGGGGGGACUGGAAUACUUGGUGUAGCAGCGAAAUGCGUAGAUAUCAAGUGGAACACCAGUGGCGAAGGCGAGUCCCUGGACAACUCCUGACACUGAGGCACGAAAGCUAGGGGAGCAAACAGG